UACGAAGGGGGCUAGCGUUGCUCGGAAUCACUGGGCGUAAAGCGCACGUAGGUGGAUUGUUAAGUCAGGGGUGAAAUCCUGGAGCUCAACUCCAGAACUGCCUUUGAUACUGGCGAUCUUGAGUCCGGGAGAGGUGAGUGGAACUGCGAGUGUAGAGGUGAAAUUCGUAGAUAUUCGCAAGAACCCCAGUGGCGAAGGCGGCUCACUGGCCCGGUACUGACGCUGAGGUGCGAAAGCGUGGGGAGCAAACAGG
rnacentral:rRNA from 1 species